UGCUGGCCCGGGUCACGUUCCCGGGCCGGCGCCUGGUCCGCGCCCUGAUCACCGUGCCGCUGGUGCUGCCCCCGGUGGUCGGCGGC
rnacentral:tRNA from 1 species